CCUGGGGUGUGUGGGUCGGUUUGUACGCCCUAACUCCAGCCAGGAGAGGGCCUCUGCUGUGACCACUGGAGUACCUCGGGAUCGCCCCUAAGCGUUUUUUCCGAGACAAGCAUCUUUCGACCUUGGCAACAUAGCUGUCCCUGAAGUCAUAGGCCACAGGAAUCAACCCACAAGUCCUGAUGGACCCCGCAAGGGGCGCAGCGAGACCCGGGCGCUUUUUCGGCGUCUAUCUGCUCUAUUGCCUAAACCCUCGGCACCGGGGCCGCGUUUAUGUGGGGUUUACCGUCAACCCUGCUCGUCGGGUCCAGCAGCACAACGGGGGCCGCAAGAAAGGCGGGGCUUACAGGACAAGCGGGCGCGGACCUUGGGAGAUGGUGCUCAUCGUGCACGGCUUCCCUUCUGCCGUGGCCGCCCUUCGGUUCGAGUGGGCCUGGCAGCACCCGCACGCCUCGCGCCGCCUGGCGCACGUGGGUCCGCGCCUACGUGCCGAGGCCGCCUUUGCUUUCCACCUGCGCGUGCUCGCGCACAUGCUGCGCGCGCCGCCCUGGGCUCGCCUUCCGCUCACCCUGCGCUGGUUGCGCGCCGACUUCUCCCGUGAUCUCUGCCCGCCGCCGCCGCAGCACGUGCCCCUGGCCUUUGGGCCUCUGCCUCCCCGGGCUUCUGCUCCGAGGCGCCCCGCAGUUCCCUUUGCUGACACACAGUCCGAGCCGGACCAGGCCCCUGAGGCCUGUUGCUCCGUGUGUGGGCGUGUGCUCAAGGAUGGAGAGGGCCCCCUCUGUUGCCCCUAUGCUGGCUGCCCCCUAAGAGCCCAUAUGAUCUGCCUGGCAGGGGAGUUCCUGCAAGAGGAGCCAGGGCAGCUUCUGCCCCUGGAGGGCCAGUGCCCCGGAGCAUAGCCUGGAGGACGCUUGUGAUCUUGACUCUGUGUCUUCUACCAACUGCACCCCUUGGUAGCUGUAAGAACUCACUGCUCUGGGGAGACCUGAUCUGGCUGUACCACAUGGGCACCAAGGAGGAAGAGGAGGACCUGGAAUUAGAAGAGGAACACUGGACAGACUUGCUGGAGACCUGAUCCUCAGUAUCCCCAAUCCUCCACACACUUCUGUGCCACCCCCUGUGGGUCUCGGCAGUUUUUACUUGAGCACAAUAAAAAGUCUGAGUUAAG